GACGAACGCUGGCGGCGUGCUUAACACAUGCAAGUCGAACGGAAAGGCCCUGCUUUUGUUGGUUGCUCGAGUGGCGAACGGGUGAGUAACACGUGAGUAACCUUCCCUUUACUUUUGGAUAACUUCAGGAAACUGUGGCUCAUACCGGAUAUGAGCUCCUGCUGCAUGGUGUGGGUUGGAAAGUUUCGGCGGUUGGGGAUGGACUCGCGGCUUAUCAGCUUGUUGGUGGGGUAGUGGCUUACCAAGGCUUUGACGGGUAGCCGGCCUGAGCGGGUGACCGGCAACAUGGGGACUGAGAUACGGCCCAGACUCCUACGGGAGGAAGAAGUGGGGAAAAUUGAAAAAUGGGCGGAAGCCUGAUGCAGCAACGCGGCGGGCGGGAUGACGGCCUUCGGGUUGUAAACCGCUUUCGCCGGUGACGAAGCGUGAGUGACGGUAAUGGGUAAAGAAGCACCGGCUAACUACGUG
rnacentral:rRNA from 1 species